rnacentral:rRNA from 1 species
AUUGAACGCUGGCGGCAGGCCUAACAAAUGCAAGUCGAACGAGUGGCGGACGGGAGAGUAAUGUCUGGGAAACUGCCCGAUGGAGGGGGAUAACUACUGGCAACGGUAGCUAAUACCGCAUACUAUCGGAUGUGCCCAGAUGGGAUUAGCUAGUAGGUGGGGUAACGGCUCACCUAGGCGAGGAUCUCCAGCUGGGCUGAGAGGAUGACCGGCCACACUGUAACAGAGACACGGUCCAGACUCCUCCGGGAGGCAGCAGGGGGGAAUAUUGCACAAUGGGCGCAAGCCUGAUGCAGCCAUGCCGCUUGUAUGAAGAAGGCCUUCGGGUUGUAAAGUACUUUCAGCGAGGAGGCGUUACUCGCAGAAGAAGCACCGGCUAACUCCGUGCCAGCAGCCGCGGUAAUAC